UACGUAGGGUGCGAGCGUUGUCCGGAAUUAUUGGGCGUAAAGAGCUCGUAGGCGGUUUGUUGCGUCGGCUGUGAAAUCCCGAGGCUCAACCUCGGGCCUGCAGUCGAUACGAGCAGACUAGAGUGUUGCAGGGGAGACUGGAAUUCCUGGUGUAGCGGUGAAAUGCGCAGAUAUCAGGAGGAACACCGGUGGCGAAGGCGGGUCUCUGGGCAACAACUGACGCUGAGGAGCGAAAGCGUGGGGAGCGAACAGG
rnacentral:rRNA from 1 species